rnacentral:rRNA from 1 species
ACAGGCUUAACACAUGCAAGUCGAGGGGCAGCAUGACCUAGCAAUAGGUUGAUGGCGACCGGCGCACGGGUGAGUAACACGUAUCCAACCUACCGGUUAUUCCGGGAUAGCCUUUCGAAAGAAAGAUUAAUACCGGAUAGUAUAACGAGAAGGCAUCUUUUUGUUAUUAAAGAAUUUCGAUAACCGAUGGGGAUGCGUUCCAUUAGUUUGUUGGCGGGGUAACGGCCCACCAAGACAUCGAUGGAUAGGGGUUCUGAGAGGAAGGUCCCCCACAUUGGAACUGAGACACGGUCCAAACUCCUACGGGAGGCAGCAGUGAGGAAUAUUGGUCAAUGGACGAGAGUCUGAACCAGCCAAGUAGCGUGAAGGAUGACUGCCCUAUGGGUUGUAAACUUCUUUUAUAUGGGAAUAAAGUGAGCCACGUGUGGCUUUUUGUAUGUACCAUACGAAUAAGGAUCGGCUAACUCCGUGCCAGCAGCCGCGGUAAUACGGAGGAUCCGAGCGUUAUCCGGAUUUAUUGGGUUUAAAGGGAGCGUAGGCGGACUAUUAAGUCAGCUGUGAAAGUUUGCGGCUCAACCGUAAAAUUGCAGUUGAUACUGGUCGUCUUGAGUGCAGUAGAGGUAGGCGGAAUUCGUGGUGUAGCGGUGAAAUGCUUAGAUAUCACGAAGAACUCCGAUUGCGAAGGCAGCUUACUGGACUGUAACUGACGCUGAUGCUCGAAAGUGUGGGUAUCAAACAGGAUUAGAUACCCUGGUAGUCCACACAGUAAACGAUAAAGACUCGCUGUUUGCGAUAUACGGCAAGCGGCCAAGCGAAAGCAU